rnacentral:rRNA from 1 species
CCCUUAGAUGUUCUGGGCUGCACGCGCGCUACACUGAUGCAUUCAACGAGUUUUACCUUGGCCGAGAGGCCUGGGCAAUCUUUUAAACCUGCAUCGUGAUAGGGAUAGAUUAUUGCAAUUAUUAAUCUUGAACGAGGAAUUCCUAGUAAACGCAGAUCAUCAAUCUGCAUUGAUUACGUCCCUGCCCUUUGUACACACCGCCCGUCGCACCUACCGAUUGAAUGGUCCGGUGAAGCCUCGGGAUUGUGGCCAGUUCACUUUAUUGGGAGUUGGCUGCGAGAACUUGUCUAAACCUUAUCAUUUAGAGGAAGGUGAAGUCGUAACA